GUAACGGCGAGUGAAGCGGCAACAGCUCAAAUUUGAAAUCUGGCUCCUUCCGGGGUCCGAGUUGUAAUUUGUAGAGGGUGCUUUGGCGUCGGCCAUGGUCUAAGUUCCUUGGAACAGGGCGUCACAGAGGGUGAGAAUCCCGUACGUGGCCGCUGGCCUUCGCCAUGUAAAGCCCCUUCGACGAGUCGAGUUGUUUGGGAAUGCAGCUCUAAAUGGGAGGUAAAUUUCUUCUAAAGCUAAAUAUUGGCCAGAGACCGAUAGCGCACAAGUAGAGUGAUCGAAAGAUGAAAAGCACUUUGGAAAGAGAGUCAAAAAGCACGUGAAAUUGUUGAAAGGGAAGCGCUUGCAGCCAGACUUGCCCGUAGUUGCUCAUCCGGGUUUCGGCCCGGUGCACUCUUCUGCGGGCAGGCCAGCAUCAGUUCAGGCGGUCGGAUAAAGGUCCCGGGAAUGUGGCUCUCUUCGGGGAGUGUUAUAGCCCGGGGCGCAAUGCGGCCAGCUUGGACUGAGGUCCGCGCAUCUGCUAGGAUGCUGGCGUAAUGGCUGUAAGCGGCCCGUCUUGAAACACGGACCAAGGAGUCUAACAUCUAUGCGAGUGUUUGGGUGUCAAGCCCGAGCGCGUAAUGAAAGUGAACGGAGGUGGGAACCCGCAAGGGCGCACCAUCGACCGAUCCUGAUGUCUUCGGAUGGAUUUGAGUAAGAGCAUAGCUGUUGGGACCCGAAAGAUGGUGAACUAUGCCUGAAUAGGGUGAAGCCAGAGGAAACUCUGGUGGAGGCUCGCAGCGGUUCUGACGUGCAAAUCGAUCGUCAAAUUUGGGCAUAGGGGCGAAAGACUAAUCG
rnacentral:rRNA from 1 species